rnacentral:ncRNA from 1 species
UUUAAAAGUUUUAUUCUUGCUUAAAGGUUCACUUUUUCUUUAUAUUAUAUAUAAGUUUUGUUUAACUAAAUGUUCUAUUUUGUAGUAAUUGAAUUUAAUUAUCAAGUUAUUUUGGAUUUAGUAAUUGAUUUAGUAUUGACAUAUUUCGUGCCAGCAGUCGCGGUUAUACGAUUAAUACAAGUGAAUGUUUUUGGUUAUUAAUAGUUAUUUUUUAUUUUGAGUUUAAAUUUAAUUAUUUUAGGUGAAAUUUUAUUUUUUUUUGAUGGCUCUUAUUUUUGAGACUAUGAAACUUAUUUAAUAAACUAGGAUUAGAUACCCUAUUAUUAUAAGUGUUAAUUUUUUUUACCUGGGUAUUAUUAGUUAAGGUCUUUAAACCUAAAGAAUUUGGCGGUAUUUCAUUCCAUUUAGAGGAACCUAUCUCAUAAUUGAUAAUACACGAUUUAUUUUACUUGAUUUAUUUGUUUGUAUAUCUCCGUUAUCAGAAAAUCUUUAUGGAGUUGAAAUUUUCUUGUUUCUCAUCAGGAAUUAUUUCAGGUCAAGGUGCAGCUUAUAAUCAAGGGUAUGAUGGGUUACAAUAAUUUAAUAUUAUUAUGGAUUUAAUUUUGUAAUAUUUUAAUGAAGGUGGAUUUAAUAGUAAUUUGAAUUAUUUAAUUUGAUUGGUAUUGGCUCUGAGAUGUGUACACAUCGCCCGUCGCUCUCAUUAUUGAAUAUUUAUUUUUUUCAGUUAAUAUGAGAUAAGUCGUAACAUAGUAGAUGUACUGGAAAGUGUAUCUAGUAAGUAUU